AUACGGAGGGUGCAAGCGUUAAUCGGAAUUACUGGGCGUAAAGCGUACGUAGGCGGUUUAUUAAGUCAGAUGUGAAAGCCCCGGGCUUAACCUGGGAACUGCAUUUGAAACUAGGAGACUAGAGUAUGGUAGAGGGGGGUAGAAUGCCUAGUGUAGCGGUGAAAUGCGUAGAUAUUAGGAGGAAUACCAGUGGCGAAGGCGGCCCCCUGGACCAAUACUGACGCUGAGGUACGAAAGCGUGGGGAGCGAACAGGAUUAGAAACCCUAGUAGUCC
rnacentral:rRNA from 1 species